rnacentral:misc_RNA from 1 species
GCAUUAGCUUACAAAGUACUGAAAGCUUAUCAUGUGUUCAAGUCGAUAUUUCUUCCUACUUCGAUAUUUUUUUUUACAAUCUGAUUAGAAUUUGAUUUUCUUGUAUACACUUUGCUGUUGCUUAUUUUUGUUUCCCCAACCUUCUUCACUAGUGUAUCUCAGGAUGUAAAAUAUUGGCUUUACCUUCACUAGUGUCUCUCAGGCUAUAAGUAAGCUUUACCAAUUUUUGUGCCUGUUUAAGACUUUAAAUUCUAUGAUCUAUAUUUACUAUAUCUGCAUUGCUUUUGUAAAUGCUCUGCCAGUAGAGAUGGAACUAGAAAUUCACCAU